GCCCAGGUAGCUCAGUCGGUAGCAGCGCUUCCCUGAAGAGGAAGAGGUCGUCAGUUCGAUCCUGACCCUGGGCA
rnacentral:tRNA from 1 species